GCAGAACACUAGGAGUUAUCCCGUCUCGGGGCAACCCCUAGAGCGGGAAGCAUUUGUCAGUGCUCCUGGCAUUUGUGAACUUUUUACCUUUUGGUAAUAUUCUACAGAGACUGCAAGUCAUUUAUAUUUACUUUAUAGUAAAUUCUAUUGGUGAGGAGAGCGGAAGGAGGAGGAAGGACGCAGAGGGGAGCAGCCAUGGACUGCUGCUUCCCAUUUGGCCUGUGCUGGCCAUUUCGAAAGCGUAAGGAGAAGCUCAUUGAGCACGAGGUGCCCCCAGCACAGGAGAAGCCCAAUCAGCCACCGCACCCAGAGAGGCAGGAGCCCACGCUGCCCUUGGGAGUGGGAUGAGCCCAACCAACACCAGGCAAGACAGGUGCUUCACCUCGGGCUAAACAAGCACCCCCUCCACCUCGGGCAAGGCAAGCACCUCCUGCACCCCGGGAAAGAAAAGCGCCCCCACCACCUCGGGCAAGACAUGGACCAUCAUCUCGUCCAUAACAGGUGCCCCCACCACCUCGGGCACAACAGCCACCUCCUGCACCCCUGGUGAGACAGGCGCCUCCACCUCGCAAAGGCUAGGCAGGCACCCCUGCCAUAGAGGCAUGCGCCAACACGAUAGCCUCCCCGGGCUAGGCAUAUGCCUCAAUACCAUCAGAGGCAUGCACCCUCAAUACCAUCAGAGGCAUGCACCCUCAAUACCAUCAGAGGCAUGCACCCUCAAUACCAUCAGAGGCAUGCACCCUCAAUACCAUCAGAGGCAUGCACCCUCAAUACCAUCAGAGGCAUGCACCCUCAAUACCAUCAGAGACAUGAGCCUCAAUACCAUCAGAGGCAUGCACCCUCAAUACCAUCAGAGACAUGAGCCUCAAUACCAUCAGAGGCAUGCACCCUUAAUACCAUCCGAGGUAUGCGCCAUCAGAGGUAUGCGCCCUCACCCCCAUCAGAGGCAUGCGCCCUCACCACCAUCAGAGGCAUGCGCCCUCACCACCAUCAGAGGCAUGUGCCCUCACCACCAUCAGAGGCAUGCGCCCUCACCACCAUCAGAGGCAUGCGCCCUCACCACCAUCAGAGGCAGGCGCCCUCACCACCAUCAGAGGCAUGCGCCCUCACCACCAUCAGAGGCAGGCGCCCUCACCACCAUCAGAGGCAUGCGCCCUCACCACCAUCAGAGGCAUGCGCCCUCACCACCAUCAGAGGCAUGCGCCCUCACCACCAUCAGAGGCAUGCGCCCUCACCACCAUCAGAGGCAUGCGCCCUCACCACCAUCAGAGGCAGGCGCCCUCACCACCAUCAGAGGUAUGCACCCUCAAUACCAUCAGAGGCAUGCACCCUCAAUACCAUCAGAGACAUGAGCCUCAAUACCAUCAGAGGCAUGCACCCUUAAUACCAUCCGAGGUAUGCGCCAUCAGAGGUAUGCGCCCUCACCACUAUCAGAGGCAUGCGCCCUCACCCCCAUCAGAGGCAUGCGCCCUCACUACCAUCAGAGGCAUGCGCCCUCACCACCAUCAGAGGCAUGCGCCCUCACCACCAUCAGAGGCAUGCGCCCUCACCACCAUCAGAGGCAUGCGCCCUCACCACCAUCAGUGGCAUGCGCCAUCACCACCAUCAGAGGCAUGCGCCAUCACCACCAUCAGAGGCAGGCGCCCUCACCACCAUCAGAGGCAUGCACCCACACAACCAUCAGAGGCACGCGCCCUCACCACCAUCAGAGGCACGCGCCCUCACCACCAUCAGAGGUAUGUGCCCUCACUAGCAUUGGAGAAUUGCUUGCAGACACAAAAAAACAUUUUUCAAUAAAAUACUUGUUGCAUAAUGA